rnacentral:rRNA from 1 species
GGAAUAUUGGACAAUGGGCGGAAGCCUGAUCUAGCAAUGCCGCGUGUGUGAAGAAGGCCUGAGGGUCGUAAAGCACUUUUGUUAGGGAGGAAGGAGUAUGCAUUAAUACUGCAUACAACAGACGUUACCUAAAGAAUAAGCACCGGCUAACUCUGUGCCAGCAGCCGCGGUAAUACAGAGGGUGCAAGCGUUAAUCGGAAUUACUGGGCGUAAAGGGUGCGUAGGUGGAUACGUAAGUCAGAUGUGAAAUCCCCGGGCUUAACCUGGGAACUGCAUAUGAUACUGCGAAUCUAGAGUAUGGUAGAGGUAAGUGGAAUUUCCGGUGUAGCGGUGAAAUGCGUAGAUAUCGGAAGGAACAUCAGUGGCGAAGGCGACUUACUGGACUGAUACUGACACUGAGGCACGAAAGCGUGGGGAGCAAAC